UUUUAGAUUUCAUUGUUCUUGUAGUAUAUAAGGAGACAUUUCACUUGUAAAAUCAUACACUCCUAUCUUUCUCUAGAUCGAGGUAUCAAGGUUUAGUAUCACAGAGAACAAUGAACUUCGUUCAGCUUUUGUUGCUUCUUGUUCUGGUUAUACUGACCAUCUACGUCAUGGGAUCAGUUGCCUCCCCUGGGAGAUGGUAUAGAAGAUGGUCUGAUUCCAGCAGCAGUGGUUCAUGGAGCAAGUAUGGCUAAAUGAUCAUUUGACCGGAAUGCUUCUAAAUGGAUAUUUGCUGCAACAGAAUUUCAACAUAUACACUAGCUUUUUCGGUAUUCAAAAAGGACUUUGAACAAAAUGUAAAUUGAUUCUGCGUUUGCGUUCUACAUAUUUGAUGCUAAUAAAGGAAAA